GGAAGCUUCCCGAGGCCCUCACCAUGGGCAGGUGCUGGUGCCAUGCUGCCUUCGUGUACAGCCUACAGAACUGAUUCAUUUGAAGCAGCCCCACAGGGAAGGGGGACGCUGAGGAAACAAAACCCAGGCCCCCCGGCCUCUGAGUGAGGGUGUGGAGCUUGCUGGGAAAUCGCUUCCACCUGAGGAGCACAAAGGACCCCAGCGGAGGAGGAAGCUGGCCCCACGCCAGCCGGAGGAUUAAUCCAAGACACAAGAGACUAAAGACAAAGAGUCAUAAAGUCAUGCGGAGAUGGAUCCAGUGCCCCACAAUGGCUGGUGUGUGGUAAAAGGAGCUAGCGUCUAUACAGGAAGCUGGUGGUCAAGAGAAGAGAGAUCAAGGUAUGCACAGAGACCAUGUCUGGAAGGAUGUUCAGUAAACCAGUUACAGUGGAGGUAAGUAAGAUGGGUUGGAAGAGAGAAGAAAAGGAAGCAGCGAGAACUUUCAUGGAUUGGU